UGAUCCUGGCUCAGGACGAACGCUGGCGGCGUGCCUAACACAUGCAAGUCGAGCGGAGCUUGCCACAUGAAGCCUUCGGGCUGAUUGAGGUUAAGCUUAGCGGCGGACGGGUGAGUAACGCGUGGGAAACCUACCCUAUGCAGGGGGAUAACCUCGGGAAACUGAGGCUAAUACCCCAUAAUGCUUAAGCUUCGCAUGUAGCUUAAGUCAAAGCUCCGGCGGCAUAGGAUGGUCCCGCGUCCCAUUAGCUAGUUGGUGAGGUAACGGCUCACCAAGGCGACGAUGGGUAGCCGGCCUGAGAGGGUGAUCGGCCACACUGGGACUGAGACACGGCCCAGACUCCUACGGGAGGCAGCAGUGGGGAAUAUUGCACAAUGGGCGAAAGCCUGAUGCAGCGACGCCGCGUGGGUGAUGAAGGCCUUCGGGUCGUAAAACCCUGUCCUAAGGGAAGAAUUUUGACGGUACCUUAGGAGGAAGCCCCGGCUAACUACGUGCCAGCAGCCGCGGUAAUACGUAGGGGGCGAGCGUUGUCCGGAAUCACUGGGCGUAAAGGGGGCGUAGGCGGCCCUGCAAGUCAGGUGUGAAAGCCCUCGGCUCAACCGAGGUAAGCACUUGAAACUGCAGGGCUUGAGCACGGGAGAGGAGAGCGGAAUUCCUGGUGUAGCGGUGAAAUGCGUAGAUAUCAGGAGGAACGUCAGUGGCGAAGGCGGCUCUCUGGACCGUUGCUGACGCUGAGGCCCGAAAGCGUGGGGAGCGAACAGGAUUAGAUACCCUGGUAGUCCACGCCGUAAACGAUGAGUGCUAGGUGUCGGGGUCUUAAAUGGCUUCGGUGCUGCAGCUAACGCAUUAAGCACUCCGCCUGGGGAGUACGGUCGCAAGACUGAAACUCAAAGGAAUUGACGGGGACCCGCACAAGCAGCGGAGCAUGUGGUUUAAUUCGAAGCAACGCGAAGAACCUUACCAGGGCUUGACAUCCCUCGGACAGUCCUAGAGAUAGGACCUUCCCUUCGGGGACUGAGGUGACAGGUGGUGCAUGGUUGUCGUCAGCUCGUGUCGUGAGAUGUUGGGUUAAGUCCCGCAACGAGCGCAACCCUUACUCUUAGUUGCCAUCAGGUUAUGCUGGGCACUCUAGGAGGACUGCCGGUGACAAACCGGAGGAAGGUGGGGAUGACGUCAAAUCAUCAUGCCCCUUAUGCCCUGGGCUACACACGUGCUACAAUGGCUGGUACAAUGGGUUGCGAACCCGCAAGGGGGAGCUAAUCCCUAAAAGCCAGUUUCAGUUCGGAUUGUGGGCUGCAACUCGCCCACAUGAAGCCGGAGUUGCUAGUAAUCGCGGAUCAGAAUGCCGUGGUGAAUGCGUUCCCGGGUCUUGUACACACCGCCCGUCACACCAUGAGAGCUGGCAACACCCGAAGUCAGUGAGCUAACCCUUUUGGGAGGCAGCUGCCGAAGGUGGGGCUGGUGAUUGGGGUGAAGUCGUAACAAGGUAGCCGUAUCGGAAGGUGCGGCUGGAUCACCUCC
rnacentral:rRNA from 1 species